UCUGGUUGAUCCUGCCGGAGGCCAUUGCUGUUGGGAUCCGACUUAGCCAUGCUAGUUGUACGAGUUCAGACUCGUGGCGAACAGCUCAGUAACACGUGGCCAAGCUACCCUCUGGACCGGAAUAACCUCGGGAAACUGAGAUUAAUGCCGGAUACCGCUCCCGUCCUGGAAGUGGAGGGAGCCGGAAACGCCCCGGCGCCAGAGGAUGCGGCUGCGGCCGAUUAGGUAGACGGUGGGGUAACGGCCCACCGUGCCGAUAAUCGGUACGGGUGGUGAGAGCCAGAACCCGGAGACGGUAUCUGAGACAAGAUACCGGGCCCUACGGGGCGCAGCAGGCGCGAAACCUUUACACUGUGCGCAAGCACGAUAAGGGGAUCCCAAGUGCGAGGGCAUACCGUCCUCGCUUUUCUGUACCGUAAGAAGGUACAGGAAUAGGGGCUGGGCAAGACCGGUGCCAGCCGCCGCGGUAAUACCGGCAGCCCAAGUGAUGGCCGCUAUUAUUGGGCCUAAAGCGUCCGUAGCCGGCCGGAUAAGUCCGUCGGGAAAUCCACCCGCUUAACGGGUGGGCGUCCGGCGGAAACUGUCCGGCUUGGGGCCGGGAGGCCUGAGGGGUACGUCCGGGGUAGGAGUGAAAUCCUGUAAUCCCGGGCGGACCGCCGGUGGCGAAAGCGCCUCAGGAGAACGGACCCGACGGUGAGGGACGAAAGCUAGGGUCUCGAACCGGAUUAGAUACCCGGGUAGUCCUAGCCGUAAACGAUGCUCGCUAGGUGUGGCACAGGCUACGAGCCUGUGCUGUGCCGUAGGGAAGCCGUGAAGCGAGCCGCCUGGGAAGUACGUCCGCAAGGAUGAAACUUAAAGGAAUUGGCGGGGGAGCACUACAACCGGAGGAGCCUGCGGUUUAAUUGGACUCAACGCCGGACAUCUCACCAGCACCGACAGUAGCUGUGAAGGUCAGGUUGAUGAUCUUACUGGAGCUACUGAGAGGAGGUGCAUGGCCGCCGUCAGCUCGUACCGUGAGGCGUCCUGUUAAGUCAGGCAACGAGCGAGACCCGUGUCCGUAGUUGCCAGCAGCACGAACGUGGCUGGGUACACUACGGAGACUGCCUGCGCCAAGCAGGAGGAAGGAGCGGGCAACGGUAGGUCAGUAUGCCCCGAAUGUGCUGGGCGACACGCGGGCUACAAUGGCCGGGACAAUGGGACGCUACCCCGAAAGGGGACGCUAAUCUCCUAAACCCGGUCGUAGUUCGGAUUGAGGGCUGAAACUCGCCCUCAUGAAGCUGGAUUCGGUAGUAAUCGCGCUUCAGUAAAGCGCGGUGAAUACGUCCCUGCUCCUUGCACACACCGCCCGUCAAAUCACCCGAGUGAGGCCUGGAUGAGGCCAUCAGCCGAUGGUCGAAUCUGGACUUCGCAAGGGGGAUUAAGUCGUAACAAGGUAACC
rnacentral:rRNA from 1 species